rnacentral:rRNA from 1 species
GACGAACGCUGGCGGCGUGCUUAACACAUGCAAGUCGAACGGUGAAAGCGGAGCUUGCUCCGCUGGAUCAGUGGCGAACGGGUGAGUAACACGUGGGCAACCUGCCCCUCACUUCGGGAUAACUUCGGGAAACCGGGGCUAAUACCGGAUAUGACCUCCUUGGGCAUCCUUGGAGGUGGAAAGUUUUUCGGUGAGGGAUGGGCCCGCGGCCUAUCAGCUUGUUGGUGAGGUAGUGGCUCACCAAGGCGACGACGGGUAGCCGGCCUGAGAGGGCGACCGGCCACACUGGGACUGAGACACGGCCCAGACUCCUACGGGAGGCAGCAGUGGGGAAUAUUGCGCAAUGGGCGAAAGCCUGACGCAGCAACGCCGCGUGCGGGAUGACGGCCUUCGGGUUGUAAACCGCUUUCAGCAGGGAAGAAGCCGCAAGGUGACGGUACCUGCAGAAGAAGCACCGGCUAACUACGUGCCAGCAGCCGCAGUAA